rnacentral:lncRNA from 1 species
CGGGGAUAACAGGAGUGUAUAUUUUAUAAGAUGGUUGGAAGAAUUAAAUCAUGUCUCCCCACUGGGUAGCCAGGCGCCUACCACGUAUAGGCGCUGAUAAAUUAUCAUUAGUGUUGUGAUUACUAGGGCAGAUCUCAGCAGCCCUCCGCUCAUCUGUUUUUCACGUCGCAGUUCCACGAGGAAACGUAUACUGAAGGAAAAAGCCAGCUUUUGAAAAAGAAGAGAGAAAUCGGUAACUGGGUUCUGUAAGGGCGGUUUCUGUCUUCAACGAGAAGGAUUCAAUCUAGGAGACCGCAUUGCGUUUAAUUAUCACAUCUCUUCAGUCUCCUCCAAUAAGUGACAGUUUCUUCAUCCUUCCUUGUCUUUCAUGACCUUGACACUGAAAUGUGCUCAUUUAAAAAUCAAUGUGGUCACACUCUCCUCCAGGAGCGGGAUUCCAUGAAAAGUUGGGGGCAGUCAGCUCUUACAGAAGGUAAUCUGUCCGAUGACGAAGACGUUUUCGAAGCCGGGACACCCCCUUGCCCUUUGGGGCUUCUUUCAUCCUCCACCUGCCUCCCCUUCUUAUUUCCAAUCCAGUUCGUCUUCCUGCUGUGAUUCAGCUGAAAUGACUAUUCGCUAUUAACGAAGAGUUUCUGUCUACAGUCCAAAUUGGUACUUGCUGGUUACCGAACAGGAAAAUGCAACACACAGCCAGAGUGAAAGGCUUUCAAUUGGUUUUGUGGAGAAGGCCACUCACUACCUGGCCGCUCUGCAUCUGCCAGCACAUGAACUCUGCUACAAUCAACCGUGGCACUGGUGCUUGAGAGACUUUUAAACCCAGGGCUGCUAAACCACUCACAUUUCAAAAAAUAAUACUACAGCCAAACACAAAACAAACCUGACUUAGCUAGCGGGAAGUGAGGCUUUAUUGAUGCAUUCGCCUUGUGGUCUAAAAUGGGGUUUUAAUAAAUUUAUGCUCUGGUAGACACAUUCAGAGCCCCAGUAUUUUAUAUCUGGGUUGCUGCCCUCCUGCCAAGGCUUAGCACUCUUCAUGUCCCUCAGGGUCCCUGGGAAGGCGAAAUGUACGCUUAUCACUACUUAGAAUGCUACUUGCCUUGGGGGCUCUCUCCACAAAUACCAAAUGUAUUACAUCUAGUGUGAACAGGUCAACUCGCUCUCCGCCAUCUCUGCGGUUGCCUUAUUUUCGUCAAUAAAUUUAAAGAUAAAUUCUCAAGUUGGAAAUCACCAUACUCAGAUGCAAAUACAGUGAAGACUCAUCCAUCCAGACUCCACUAAUUCCAAAUCCGUGAUGAUUCUUCAUAAAAGGUAGAACGCUUUAAAUAAAAAAUUGGACAUUAUGUCUUUUUCUAUGAAUUUUUAGUUUGCUCGGGGGUAAAGUAAAUCUAUUCAGAUGUCAGUAGCUACUUCAAAAGAAAGAUUGAUCUUAUGAAAUUGAAGAUUUUUCUAAUAUACUUUUGGAUCCAGAGAUUUUUGUGUGGUAAGGGAUUCUGACAUUUGAUAUAUUACAGUGUGAUGGUACAAUUUAUUACUUGGUUGAUAAUAGGUUCCAUCUUUGAACAUAAUGGAGCCACUUCUUUAAAACUGAUGUACAGUGUAGAAGUUUUACUGUCAGCUGAACUUUCUCCCCAAUUGCAUUCUAAGCUGUUUGAAUUGAAGGAUCGUGCAUUUUAUAUUUUUUGUGUCCCUAACCCACUCUCUCAGUCGUUUCUUCAUCGUGGGGCUCAGAAAAGUGCCUAACACAUAGGAAAUGCUCAGUAAAACUUUUCCUCGAGUAUUUGUGAGACUUGAUUAUUCUGAACAUAUGUGUUUGAACCACUUGAAAGCAGCUAGAUCAGCUCUUGUUAGUGUCUUAUCUAUCUAGUUUAAAAAAGUCUCUCAUUAAAUUGUUUGCUUUAUGUUUUGCAGUGUGAGUAUAGUAUCAGGAUGAUUUGACUGCAAGUAACUAAGAAUCAAACAAAAAAUGGCCUAAACAAAGAAGCAAAUUUAUUACCUCAUGUUAGAAGAAGUUUGGGGGUUGAGUGGGUAAAAGGUUUUUGAUUUAGAAAGAAACUCGACAAUAACAUCCCAGACCAUGUCCACGGUGGCAGCGACAGCCCUUGAUCCCUCAGGCUUGCAUGAUGGCUGCAGCGGUUGCAGCAAAGAUAGCCUCACAGAGCAGUGUUCCAAGACCAGGGAGGGCCUCCUUUCUUCUCUCACUUUCUGGAGGCUCACAGACUUCUCUUCACGCGUCACUGGCAAGGGGAAUGGAUUUAUCCCGUGGGUGCAGACAACUAAGAUACAUCCCUAAGCCAUAAGGAGGCCCAAUCUCUGGAAAACAUUUGGCACUCAAUUCAUAAACCAAGCUGGCACCCUGGCCAGAAAGAGGCGAAAGUAAUAACCAUUCCGUAUGGACAACAGUGUCUGCCACAAGUCACAUGUCUUACUGAGGAAAGCUGAU